CGCGAAAUAUUAAAAUUGUUAAAACUUAAUAUUGUUUUUGAUUAGUAUUAAAUUAUAGUCUAUGUUAAGUAUGCUGAAAUGAAUCGUGGCGAUUUAAACCGUUGUAACAGCAUAGCAAAAAGGAUUUUACCAAAUAAUGCUUCGCCGGUACUUUUCGAAUGCUUACCGGAAAAAUUGUAUUAAAUACAUGGCUAAGAGGAAAAAGUGCAUCGAAACUAACACGCAAUAAUGAAACGAAUACACUUUUUUUUGACCUGAUGCUAACCUAACUGCAAGAGAAUGCCUCAAGUGUUAUCGACACUACGUGUACCGUCCAUUACAAGAAAUCUCGUAAUUCUCUUAGGUACGACGUGCUGAUCUGCCUGGUGUCCACUCAUGUAGCCUUGGUGUGAUGACCCUGUUCAGCAAAGAAGUGUAGAACUGACAUUUGGUAUGGUCAAAUACAGGCGUAUUGAUUGUCACUCGAAUGAUCACUUCGAAAUUAUUGUCCAUAAUGAAUGCCUUCGUUGAUUCCCAGCGAUAGUCUAUCUUUUUUGGAAAUGGAAAAGGACGAUGAGGAACAGAAGUCGCAAAUUAUACGUACUAUGGGAAGUAAACAAACGAUCGUCAAACAGUUGGAUCAUUCUUCUAGUUAAUGAAGUUAAUUAAAAGUGAAUAUGCAAAUAAAUU